CUUGCUUCUUUGCUGACGAGUGGCGGACGGGUGAGUAAUGUCUGGGAAACUGCCUGAUGGAGGGGGAUAACUACUGGAAACGGUAGCUAAUACCGCAUAACGUCGCAAGACCAAAGAGGGGGACCUUCGGGCCUCUUGCCAUCGGAUGUGCCCAGAUGGGAUUAGCUAGUAGGUGGGGUAACGGCUCACCUAGGCGACGAUCCCUAGCUGGUCUGAGAGGAUGACCAGCCACACUGGAACUGAGACACGGUCCAGACUCCUACGGGAGGCAGCAGUGGGGAAUAUUGCACAAUGGGCGCAAGCCUGAUGCAGCCAUGCCGCGUGUAUGAAGAAGGCCUUCGGGUUGUAAAGUACUUUCAGCGGGGAGGAAGGGAGUAAAGUUAAUACCUUUGCUCAUUGACGUUACCCGCAGAAGAAGCACCGGCUAACUCCGUGCCAGCAGCCGCGGUAAUACGGAGGGUGCAAGCGUUAAUCGGAAUUACUGGGCGUAAAGCGCACGCAGGCGGUUUGUUAAGUCAGAUGUGAAAUCCCCGGGCUCAACCUGGGAACUGCAUCUGAUACUGGCAAGCUUGAGUCUCGUAGAGGGGGGUAGAAUUCCAGGUGUAGCGGUGAAAUGCGUAGAGAUCUGGAGGAAUACCGGUGGCGAAGGCGGCCCCCUGGACGAAGACUGACGCUCAGGUGCGAAAGCGUGGGGAGCAAACAGG
rnacentral:rRNA from 1 species